ACAAAACAAGGACAAAAUGAGACUUUUAUUGGACGACACAACAAAACAGCUUCCAGGAGUUCUGCCUCUUCUCUCUUUAAACCAAAAUAUCAGUUUAAAAACGUGGCGCUCCACCUGCACACUUUACUGUUCAUUUUUAUUUUUAUGAAUCAGUGUUUUAUUCUUAACACCUGUCUCUGAUUCAUGUCCCUACAUAUUCAGCUUCACGCUUACUCGUAUCUCUCUCUUCUUCUAUGUGACGGUCUGAAGGCAAACCCCGCCCCCUUCAUCUCAUGUCAAUCAUCCAGAUUACAGCUGUAUGUCCAGAGAUUACAGCUCAUCUCACCGGCUGCUGCUCUGAAUGUUACACAAACAGUUUCACUGCUCGUCUGAGGAACUGAUGGGUCUGUGACAGCUAGGGUUCUGCAGAACCUGCUGAUGUGCAGAAAUUCACUGAUGUGAACCAGGAAAACACCAACCGAUGUUCUGUGUCCCUCUGAGGUCCAGAUGGUUCUGAGGUCCACAAAGACCCAAGAUGAUCCCUCCUGAAGACCAGCAGCAGUUUGUCUUCUGCAGAGUGGGCGGUUUGUUCUCACGCAGGGAGCUGACUCUGACAUCUGCUGCCCCCUCACCUCUUCAUCACCGUCCGCUCCUCUUCAUCAGUCUUCACAGUGAUGAAGAGGAGGAACAGGCUUCUCUCAGAUUUAAAGUCCUGUCUGGGUCCAAGACCAGAACCAAACCUGAACUCUGCAGCUGACAAAACUGAAUCAGGAGAAGAAAUGUUGGGAAGGAGGAGGAAGUCAUUUCUGAGUGAAGCUCAUUAAUGAAGUUUUUAAAACCUGUAAGCUUAAAGUUAAAAAAACACAAAAAACAUUGACUAAAAAGCUAAAAGUAGGGCAGACAGUUGCAGCA